UACCAUGGGUAAAAUGCCAAACCUAGCGC
rnacentral:piRNA from 1 species